GACGAACGCUGGCGGCGUGCCUAAUACAUGCAAGUCGAACGCACAGUUUAUACCGUAGCUUGCUACACCAUAGACUGUGAGUUGCGAACGGGUGAGUAACGCGUAGGUAACCUGCCUGGUAGCGGGGGAUAACUAUUGGAAACGAUAGCUAAUACCGCAUAAUAUUGAUUAUUGCAUGAUAAUUGAUUGAAAGAUGCUAUUGCAUCACUACCAGAUGGACCUGCGUUGUAUUAGCUAGUAGGUGAGGUAACGGCUCACCUAGGCGACGAUACAUAGCCGACCUGAGAGGGUGAUCGGCCACACUGGGACUGAGACACGGCCCAGAAUCCUACGGGAGGCAGCAGUAGGGAAUCUUCGGCAAUGGACGAAAGUCUGACCGAGCAACGCCGCGUGAGUGAAGAAGGGUGUCGGACCGUAAAGCUCUGUUGUAAGAGAAGAACGGGUGUGAGAGUGGAAAGUUCACACUGUGACGGUAUCUUACCAGAAAGGGACGGCUAACUACGUG
rnacentral:rRNA from 1 species